CACCCCAGCAGAGAGAAAAGAGCCUUUAGUCUUCUUGUGGAUUGAAACUGCGCUGCCGAAUUUCUUCACCUGCAAGAUAUUCUUCAGGAGGACAGAGUCAGCAGUACCGAUGAUGAGGACACUUGCCAAGCUA
rnacentral:sRNA from 1 species